UACGGAGGGUGCAAGCGUUGUCCGGAAUCACUGGGCGUAAAGGGCGCGUAGGCGGCCUGGUAAGUAGGGGGUGAAAUCCUGCGGCUUAACCGCAGGGCUGCCUUCUAAACUGUCAGGCUUGAGCACGGUAGAGGCAGAUGGAAUUCCCGGUGUAGUGGUGGAAUGCGUAGAGAUCGGGAAGAACAUCAGUGGCGAAGGCGGUCUGCUGGGCCGUUGCUGACGCUGAGGCGCGACAGCGUGGGGAGCAAACAGG
rnacentral:rRNA from 1 species